rnacentral:rRNA from 1 species
CGCGUGUGUGAAGAAGGCCUUCGGGUUGUAAAGCACUUUCAGUCAGGAGGAAAGGUUAGUAGUUAAUACCUGCUAGCUGUGACGUUACUGACAGAAGAAGCACCGGCUAACUCCGUGCCAGCAGCCGCGGUAAUACGGAGGGUGCGAGCGUUAAUCGGAAUUACUGGGCGUAAAGCGUACGCAGGCGGUUUGUUAAGCGAGAUGUGAAAGCCCCGGGCUCAACCUGGGAACUGCAUUUCGAACUGGCAAACUAGAGUGUGAUAGAGGGUGGUAGAAUUUCAGGUGUAGCGGUGAAAUGCGUAGAGAUCUGAAGGAAUACCGAUGGCGAAGGCAGCCACCUGGGUCAACACUGACGCUCAUGUACGAAAGCGUGGGGAGCAAACGGGAUUAGAUACCCCGGUAGUCCACGCCGUAAACGAUGUCUACUAGAAGCUCGGAGCCUCGGUUCUGUUUUUCAAAGCUAACGCAUUAAGUAGACCGCCUGGGGAGUACGGCCGCAAGGUUAAAACUCAAAUGAAUUGACGGGGGCCCGCACAAGCGGUGGAGCAUGUGGUUUAAUUCGAUGCAACGCGAAGAACCUUACCUACACUUGACAUACAGAGAACUUACCAGAGAUGGUUUGGUGCCUUCGGGAACUCUGAUACAGGUGCUGCAUGGCUGUCGUCAGCUCGUGUUGUGAGAUGUUGGGUUAAGUCCCGCAACGAGCGCAACCC